rnacentral:rRNA from 1 species
UAUUUAUUAGAUAAAAAACCAAUGCCCUUCGGGGCUCCUUGGUGAAUCAUAAUAACUUAACGAAUCGCAUGGCCUUGCGCCGGCGAUGGUUCAUUCAAAUUUCUGCCCUAUCAACUUUCGAUGGUAGGAUAGUGGCCUACCAUGGUAUCAACGGGUAACGGGGAAUUAGGGUUCGACUCCGGAGAGGGAGCCUGAGAAACGGCUACCACAUCCAAGGAAGGCAGCAGGCGCGCAAAUUACCCAAUCCCGACACGGGGAGGUAGUGACAAUAAAUACUGAUACAGGGCUCUUUUGGGUCUUGUAAUUGGAAUGAGUACAAUUUAAAUCCCUUAACGAGGAACAAUUGGAGGGCAAGUCUGGUGCCAGCAGCCGCGGUAAUUCCAGUUCCAAUAGCGUAUAUUAAAGUUGUUGCAGUUAAAAAGCUCGUAGUUGAACCUUGGGCCUGGCUGGCCGGUCCGCCUCACCGCGUGUACUGGUCCGGCCGGGCCUUUCCUUCUGGGGAACCUCAUGCCCUUCACUGGGCGUGUUGGGGAACCAGGACUUUUACUUUGAAAAAAUUAGAGUGUUCAAAGCAGG